rnacentral:rRNA from 1 species
GACGAACGCUGGCGGCGUGCUUAACACAUGCAAGUCGAACGGAAAGGCCCUGCUUUUGUGGGGUGCUCGAGUGGCGAACGGGUGAGUAACACGUGAGUAACCUGCCCUUGACUUUGGGAUAACUUCAGGAAACUGGGGCUAAUACCGGAUAGGAGCUCCUGCUGCAUGGUGGGGGUUGGAAAGUUUCGGCGGUUGGGGAUGGACUCGCGGCUUAUCAGCUUGUUGGUGGGGUAGUGGCUUACCAAGGCUUUGACGGGUAGCCGGCCUGAGAGGGUGACCGGCCACAUUGGGACUGAGAUACGGCGCAGACGCCUACGGGAGGCAGCAGUGGGGAAUAUUGCACAAUGGGCGGGAGCCUGAUGCAGCAACGCCGCGUGCGGGAUGACGGCCUUCGGGUUGUAAACCGCUUUCGCCUGUGACGAAGCGUGAGUGACGGUAAUGGGUAAAGAAGCACCGGCUAACUACGUG